GAUGAACGCUGGCUCCAGGCUUAACACAUGCAAGUCGAGGGGAAACGACGGGGAAGCUUGCUUCCCCGGGCGUCGACCGGCGCACGGGUGAGUAACGCGUAUCCAACCUGCCUCUGACUGAGGGAUAACCCGUCGAAAGUCGGCCUAAUACCUCAUGGUAUCGUCUGCGGGCAUCCAACGACGAUUAAAGAUUUCAUCGGUCAGGGUUGGGGAUGCGUCUGAUUAGCUUGUUGGCGGGGUAACGGCCCACCAAGGCUACGAUCAGUAGGGGUUCUGAGAGGAAGGUCCCCGACAGUGGAACUGAGACACGGUCCAAACACCUACGGGAGGCAGCAGUGAGGAAUAUUGGUCAAUGGGCGAGAGCCUGAACCAGCCAAGUAGCGUGCAGGAAGACGGCCCUAUGGGUUGUAAACUGCUUUUAUGCGGGGAUAAAGUGAGGGACGGGUCCCUCAUUGCAGGUACCGAAUGAAUAAGGACCGGCUAAUUCCGUG
rnacentral:rRNA from 1 species